CGAAGGAUGCAAGCGUUAUCCGGAUUCAUUGGGUUUAAAGGGUGCGUAGGCGGACUGAUAAGUCAGUGGUGAAAUCUCUUUGCUUAACAAAGAAACUGCCAUUGAUACUGUCAGUCUAGAGUAUAGAUGACGCUGGCGGAAUAUGACAUGUAGUGGUGAAAUACUUAGAUAUGUCAUAGAACACCGAUUGCGAAGGCAGCUAACGAAACUAUAACUGACGCUGAGGCACGAAAGUGCGGGGAUCAAACAGGAUUAGAUACCCUGGUAGUCCGCACCGUAAACGAUGAUUACUCGUUGUUGGCGAUAUGACAGUCAGCGACCAAGCGAAAGCGAUAAGUAAUCCACCUGGGGAGUACGCCGGCAACGGUG
rnacentral:rRNA from 1 species